rnacentral:tRNA from 1 species
GUAUGAAUAGUUUAAUAAAAAUUAUGCUUUUGUAAAGCAUUGAUGGCCCUUUGGGCCUUUAUACA